rnacentral:lncRNA from 1 species
AUUCAAAAGAUAAAUGGAUGAGUAUAUGGGUGUGUGGCAACUCAACUGCAAAGAAAGAUGUCGAUGGUCCGUUUCAUGAUGAUGAUGAUGAUGAUGGAUGGAUGCUAUCAGUUUUAGUUAUAUCGUAGGGAUGACAUUCCUGUUGAAUGUUGUUCCUCGGUUAAGUUUUAGUUAAGUUGUAGGGAUGUUGAUGGAUGCUUUCGUUUAAGUUUCAGUGUCAGAAAAUAGUUAGAUUAUGCAUCACAUUUGGAUGAUGUUCUCCUGUAAUAACCACUAUUGUAAUCCAACAAUUUUAUCUAAUAUAUGAUUUCUUUGUCUCGUCAGUAUAUUCUCUUGUUUUUCCUUCACUUGAAAUACAUAAUUAUCACCUUUACAUGGAGCAUU